CGUAUUAGGGCAGCUUCGGCGCUCUUUACACACUCACCCUUUGCCUAUGCGUACCUCUGAUAGCUUCCUCGGCGGGCUCGCCCCGCCGAUAGGAACCCACAAAACCCCUUGCAUCGUACACGAAAACUUCUGAUACCAACCUUAAAUUAUCA
rnacentral:misc_RNA from 1 species